GUGAAAUACUUAUUCCUUAUAUAGUAACGUGGCUAAAAAUGGCACUUCAGGAAAUUACAAAAGCUCCACCUUACACUGUUUUUCCAUGGCUGCUGUUUCAUUUGAGAUUGCACACAGGAAGAACCCACAACCAUGCUUGCCUGAUGGUGCCAGAAGAGCACAAUCCUCUUCCACCUUUUCUUGCGCUGUUAAUGGUAAGGGGUGCAAUAAAAAUCUGGAGGAGAUCAAACUCUGGCUCAUUUGGCACAGGAAAACCAAGCAACCAUGCAGGACUGGAAACCUCUAGCUGGUUUUCAUUUGAUUGGGAAGUACUUCUGCAAGGCCUUAUGGAAAAGUUGGCUGGGUGUUUGUCCUGCUCCCUCCCAGAAAAUGAGUGCACAUGUUGGAUGUCUCAUGAAGAAAUGUGGAUGAGACUUCCCUGCAAGGAAGAGGCUGUGGAAGAACUCAAAUACCCCAACCUUCAGGUACUGCAGCCUUGA
rnacentral:lncRNA from 1 species